UGAAACAGUGUUAAUUAGGGGGGGUCUGGAUUAUGUCCUCUUCUUCAGGACCUUGGAAGAUAACACCUACUGUCACUGCUGGGGCAGUGCUAAUUGCUGGAACAACACCUGUUGGUCAGGGCCCUGAGAAAGAAGGGCAGAACCCGAGGAAUCAAAACACAUUUGUCAGCAGAAACCGCAACAGUAAAGAUAAGGGAGAAAAACAGCCUGCCUGGGAACAACGAUGAGACCCAAUAGGGAGCAGGAGACCCCAAAGCCAAAAAUUACUAUUGGUCUGAACUACCGCGUGAGGGGUGGGAAACUUAAUUUGAAAAAGCUAUAAUUGCCCAGGGAUUUCUUUGUUCAGGGUCCCUCUUCAGAGGCACCCAACUCGAGCUGUAACUACUGCACGCAUGUCAUUAUUUAAUUUGCCUUGAUUUGGCUCCAAACUUUUCAGCGGGAACCUAGGGUCGGACCCUGCUCGAGUUGUAAUUACUGCACGCGCAUCGCUAAAAUUUACACCCAGGGUGAAGAGGACCAACGGGACGCCGCUGGAUCCACGGGUGGCACUGACAUUUACUACCAGAAAUGACCUGUGAUCUAGCUCAGUCACUGUCAUUCCUGCCCAUCAAAGAGCACAGAGAUUAUGAUGAAGAAUUAUGUAUAAGAAAUUAUAUCUGAAAGACCCUGUGUAAGUGGACAAGUGCGAUCAAAGAAGAGUUAAUCUACAACUUGGAAAUUUCACUCUGAGGUAAUGGAGUGCUCACUGCAGAACACCCAUCAGUUCAUAGACAUAAUGGCUAUCUAGUCUGAUCACCUGUCUGACAGGCAAAACAUCUUCAGGAUAUAGCCCAUACUGGGUGAAAGAUCCCUCUAUCUGUCUUGAAGGAUCUGUGCCAACCUCCAGCAUAAAAAUUAAAAAUGUAUAGAGAAAGAGAAAUGGAAGAUAAGAAAGAAUCUGAUUUUGCUACUGACUAAUGAAUUUCCUUCUCAUUGAAAUGAAGUCUCUGAGCAUAUCACCAGCCUUUAAUCACCAGUCUUUUAAGCAAAGAGUGGAUUGAGUCAUUACCACAAUUUUGGUGGCAUAAAAAAUACUGACCACAAAGGCAUUCUGUGGCAGCCUGUCUCCUAAGCAAGUGCUGCAGGACACCUUCCAGAUGGGCGUACUAGGAUAAAUAAAUGACACGUUACCAUUAGGAGGAAGAUGGUAUUAAGCUACUUACCCUGGGACAGUACCAAGGAUGAGCAGAGGUGCAACUCAAAGUGCUUGGGGAACUUGAAAGAAGAAAAGAAAUCAGCAGGUUUUAGAGCAUUGGCACCCUCAGGCUUGGACUUCAGCUGGCCAGAAGUUUUGAAUUAACAUUUCUCGGUGAACAUUUUGGUACCCAAACACUAGUUAAGUCCCGCUUUGGGCAUGUAGUCCUGCAUUGAGGCAAUCUUUUCUAGAGUACCUAGGAAGAUCAUGAUAUUAUUUAUUCUUAGCUUUCAGUCACUCAGCAGGUAAGUUUCACAGGUUGGUGCCUUGCCAAAUUUGUCGUAUGUUCCAAAUGAUUCUUUUAGAGCUUAUCAAAUGAAAAGGCAUAUUAUGCUCCUCUUCUGUAAAAAAGCCACUCAUUUAUUUUACAGUAUGCAUAUUCCUUCAAUUGGCUUAUAAAUGCUUUGUUUGAAGAUGGCACUUCAGAAUGCUUAUGAGAGCUGCUUUCUUAAGUGUGGAAGAAAAUGCUUCAUUCCAAGAGUUUCUAUAAAAAAGAAAAUAGGCAUCAAUUUUUGUCUUCUCAGUAUAUUAAAAUUAUGCUGAGCAGCUAAUGCCAGCUAUUGCCACAUACUUUGAGAUAAAUGCUCUGUUAUAGAGAAACGAACCUUAAAUAAAUUCUUCAAAUCCAA